GGGGGUGCAUUGGUUUCGACUUGGAAGCAAAGUACCGAUGGCAUGCAGAGGAUUCGGUUGGCCUCUUAAAAAAGCCGAGACGACAUAACUGUCAAAAAAUCAAAUGUUGUAAGCAUCGCUUCUCACGCUGGUUUCACUAGCGAAGUUGCGGUUGCUGCGGCUGCUGCUUAAGACCUAACCCGUCUUUGUAGCCGACCCUCUGAGAUUGGACCAGGGAUCUUGGAAAGGUCGUCAUAGAUCUUGGCAUGAGCACUAUCGCUUGACUUCCAGAGGUAGUGUUUCGAGAUUAAAGGAAGUGUGCGAGCCCUUAGUGGGGUUCCUUACAGCAAGGCUUGCACUAUAAAUUAAGGGACUAAGCAUGUAGGCAUCGUUAUAGAGUUUACUAAGGACGAGAGUUCGAAUCUCUCCACCUCCAA
rnacentral:tmRNA from 1 species